GACGAACGCUGGCGGCGUGCUUAACACAUGCAAGUCGAACGGUAAGGCCCUUCGGGGUACACGAGUGGCGAACGGGUGAGUAACACGUGGGUGAUCUGCCCUGCACUUCGGGAUAAGCCUGGGAAACUGGGUCUAAUACCGGAUAGGACUCCUGGCUUCAUGGUUGGGGGUGGAAAGCUUUUGCGGUGUGGGAUGGGCCCGCGGCCUAUCAGCUUGUUGGUGGGGUAAUGGCCUACCAAGGCGACGACGGGUAGCCGGCCUGGGAGGGUGACCGGUCAGACUGGGACUGAGAUACGGCCCAGACUCCUACGGGAGGCAGCAGUGGGGAAUAUUGCACAAUGGGCGCAAGCCUGAUGCAGCGACGCCGCGUGAGGGAUGACGGCCUUCGGGUUGUAAACCUCUUUCAGCUAUGACGAAGCGCAAGUGACGGUAGUAGCAGAAGAAGGACCGGCCAACUACGUGCCAGCAGCCGCAGUAA
rnacentral:rRNA from 1 species